UUUUUUACGCCUGGUCUAGGUGUAGAAAAAUGGUCAAAAUGAAGACAGAAAGGAAGCAGUCUUACAUUUAGAAUUGGAAGUGGAUACGCCGAAAUUAUGCAAAGGCCGGCGCCUCCACAUAACUUCGGCAAUCCACCGCCGGCGCAGGG